GUAACCGAAGGAGGCGACAAGUGCGAGGUUAGAGAGGCACCCAGGAGGACGGGGGAUAAAGGCAGCAGCCCACCUUUGAGCAGGCCUCUUGUUCAGAACAAAUGACAUCUCACCAGACUUCUCCAUCAACUGCUUCAUCCAGAAUAACACAUAUAGCUGCUGAACUGGAAUAAGUUCGGGGAACCUUCUAGUAGCCCAGCGCAGUGACAUGAACCGCCUCCCUGAUGGAUGCACCUUCUGAAGUGUGGUGAGCCAGCUACUUCCAGGUGGGGGAAGGCGAUGAUGGGGAAUGCUUCCGCAAGAAAGGGUGGGAUUCACACGUACCACAGAGCAGAUUCUCCUCCUUUCUUUCUGUCCUGCACCUUUCAUGGUCAUGAGUUCACUGCAGUUCUGGAG